rnacentral:tRNA from 1 species
GCCAGUUUGGCUCAGUGGAUAGAGCAUUGGUCUGCGAAGUGAAGGGUCCCGGGUUCAAUUCCGGUCAAUGGCA